UGAAAUGAUUAGAAGCAGUGUGUU
rnacentral:miRNA from 2 species